rnacentral:rRNA from 1 species
AAUUGCUAGUAAUGGCAGGUCAGCAUACUGCCGUGAAUACGUUCCCGGGCCUUGUACACACCGCCCGUCACACCAUGAGAGUUGGGGAUACCCGAAGCCUGUGGGCCAACUGUAAAGAGGCAGCAGUCGAAGGUAGAAUCAAUGAUUGGGGUGAAGUCGUAACAAGGUACC